AAGUCGUAACAAGGUUUCCGUAGGUGAACCUGCGGAAGGAUCAUUAACACUUUUUCGAGCGUGGUUUGAGAAGUUGUCUUUUCCUAAAAAAAAAAGACGUACAUCUCCCACACCCAAUCCACUCUACCCAAAUUGAAGUGCUAGUGGAAGGAAUUUCAACUUUCCCUCCCUUUUUUUCCCUUUUUCCUUUAUUCAAAACCCCAAAACAUUCGUGCUAAUGCUAUGACAAAAACAAAAACAACAAAAAACUACUAACGUAACCAAACAACUCUUAGCAACGGAUAUCUUGGCUCUC
rnacentral:misc_RNA from 1 species